rnacentral:rRNA from 1 species
GUGAGGAAUUUUCCGCAAUGGGCGAAAGCCUGACGGAGUAAUGCCGCGUGAAGGAUGAAGGCCUAUGGGUUGUAAACUUCUUUUCUCAGAAAAGAAUUAUGACGGUAUCUGAGGAAUAAGCAUCGGCUAACUCUGUGCCAGCAGCCGCGGUAAGACAGAGGAUGCAAGCGUUAUCCGGAAUGAUUGGGCGUAAAGCGUCUGUAGGUUGUUUAAAAAGUAUUCUGUCAAAGAUUAGGGCUUAACCCUAGAUAGGCAGAAUAAACUUUUAAGCUAGAGUUUGGUAGAAGCAGAGGGAAUUCCCGGUGGAGCGGUGAAAUGCGUAGAUAUCGGGAGGAACAACAAAGGCGAAGGCACUCUGCUGGGCCAAUACUAACACUGAGAGACGAAAGCGAGGGGAGCAAAUGGGAUUAGAAACCCGUGUAGUCC